CUAGUACUCUGCAAGGAGAAAAGAAACUUGGCAGAUGUAUUAGUGGUUCCUGAUUUAUUAGAUCAUGUUGUUCUCGCUUUAGGAAACAUGGAGUUGGAACCUAAGCCAAUGUGACCCAGAAUUUCAUUCUGUCAAAUGCAGGGAGCACUAUUACAGUGAUGGUUCAUAGCACUGGGGACAGCUGGAGAAGGUCAAGGCCAGGUGAUCAGGAGGCAUGAAUGCCGUAAAGGUGGUACCAACAUAGGGAGAAAGGCUGGUCAUUCUAGGUUUGAAAGGAAGCAACUGGAAACUUCUUUUACUUCAGAAUCCUAUCAUAGAUUGGCCUUGAACUCUGGACGAAAGAUGUCUGAGGUAUGCUCACAAAUGGGGAGAGAAGGAAGUAUUAUGUAAGAUUAUCAUAGUUUGCUUCUGCUAGGUGGGUUGCAGAGAGAAAAGCAACAAUACCUCUCAGAGGUGACAUUGUUUUUCUUGUUUCUCAUCGUUAAUUAAUAUUUUACUUUAAAGGACUCUAAGGUGAGUCCUCUGUUAGGAGUGGUAUUUAAUAUUUAUUUUAUCAACACCUGCCAGGUGCAUCACAGUCAAUCUGCCCUCUGUCAACUACAAUAUUACACAAGGUUGCAGAUGUAAAUGUCAGUGGUCAAAAGGAAAAAUAGUCCUGGGUUUAAACUGGCAGCUCAAGAAUGGAGAAAAAAUGUGGAAAAUACAUAGUAAACGUGGAAUCCUCUAGAAACCAGCCUGCUUCCUUUAGCCAACGCCUGGACCCUGUGGUGCAAGGUGACAUUUGGUGACUGCUGGUGCCCUUAUUCCCUGGACAUCCGAACUGGGGCUUCCUUCCUAAAACUGAAGCCCGCAUUUCCUAGCAGUGAGACCUACUCCGUUCUUUUCAAAGAUGUGACUUGUGUUGUGCCUCUCUCCUGCUGUCCCGAGCUCAGUUACGGAAGGGAAUGACAGCGAGCUAAUCACAGAUUUUAAAAUUGAGCAAGUGUCAGGAAUUGCACCAAGUAUAUUACAUACCUUAUUAUCUUCUUUAAUCCUUACACUUAUCCUUGGAUAUAGGUAUACCUCUUCUUGUGAAGAAAUAGAGGCUUAGGACAUUAAGGAAAUUGCCAGGUAUUAGCCUGUUUAUAAGAGUCACAGAUGAAAGUCAACCAGGAAUCUUUAGAAUCCAAGGCUCUUAAUCACUGUGCUACACUGCUUCUGAUAAAAAUAAAAUAAUUAAAAAAAAAUUGAAAUCUCUUUUU
rnacentral:lncRNA from 1 species